CAUGGCUCAGAUUGAACGCUGGCGGCAGGCCUAACACAUGCAAGUCGAACGGUAACAGGAAAAGCUUGCUGCUUUGCUGACGAGUGGCGGACGGGUGAGUAAUGUCUGGGAAACUGCCUGAUGGAGGGGGAUAACUACUGGAAACGGUAGCUAAUACCGCAUAACGUCGCAAGACCAAAGAGGGGGACCUUCGGGCCUCUUGCCAUCGGAUGUGCCCAGAUGGGAUUAGCUAGUAGGUGGGGUAACGGCUCACCUAGGCGACGAUCCCUAGCUGGUCUGAGAGGAUGACCAGCCACACUGGAACUGAGACACGGUCCAGACUCCUACGGGAGGCAGCAGUGGGGAAUAUUGCACAAUGGGCGCAAGCCUGAUGCAGCCAUGCCGCGUGUAUGAAGAAGGCUUCGGGUUGUAAAGUACUUCAGCGGGGAGGAAGGGAGUAAAGUUAAUACUUUGCUCAUUGACGUUACCCGCAAAAAGCACGGCUAAAUCCG
rnacentral:rRNA from 1 species